AUUGAACGCUGGCGGCAGGCCUAACACAUGCAAGUCGAACGAGUGGCGGACGGGUGAGUAAUGUCUGGGAAACUGCCCGAUGGAGGGGGAUAACUACUGGAAACGGUAGCUAAUACCGCAUACCAUCGGAUGUGCCCAGAUGGGAUUAGCUAGUAGGUGGGGGAAUGGCUCACCUAGGCGACGAUCCCUAGCUGGUCUGAGAGGAUGACCAGCCACACUGGAACAGAGAAACGGUCCAGACUCCUACGGGAGGCAGCAUGUGGGAAUAUUGCGCAAUGGGCGCAAGCCUGAUGCAGCCAUGCCGCGUGUGUGAAGAAGGCCUUCGGGUUGUAAAACACUUUCAGCGGGGAGGCGUUACCCGCAGAAGAAGCACCGGCUAACUCCGUGCCAGCAGCCGCGGUAAUAC
rnacentral:rRNA from 1 species